rnacentral:tRNA from 1 species
CGGGGCGUAGCUUAGUCCGGUAAAGCGCCACGUUCGGGACGUGGAGACCGGAGGUUCGAAUCCUCUCGCCCCGACCA